rnacentral:rRNA from 1 species
AACGAACGCUGGCGGCAUGCCUAACACAUGCAAGUCGAACCAUCCCUUCGGGGAUAGUGGCGCACGGGUGCGUAACGCGUGGGAACCUGCCCUUAGGUUCGGAAUAACUCAGAGAAAUUUGAGCUAAUACCGGAUAAUGUCUUCGGACCAAAGAUUUAUCGCCUUUGGAUGGGCCCGCGUUGGAUUAGCUAGUUGGUGGGGUAAAGGCCUACCAAGGCGACGAUCCAUAGCUGGUCUGAGAGGAUGAUCAGCCACACUGGGACUGAGACACGGCCCAGACUCCUACGGGAGGCAGCAGUGGGGAAUAUUGGACAAUGGGCGAAAGCCUGAUCCAGCAAUGCCGCGUGAGUGAUGAAGGCCUUAGGGUUGUAAAGCUCUUUUACCCGGGAUGAUAAUGACAGUACCGGGAGAAUAAGCCCCGGCUAACUCCGUG